rnacentral:rRNA from 1 species
UACGGAGGGUGCAAGCGUUAUCCGGAUUCACUGGGUUUAAAGGGUGCGUAGGCGGCUUUGUAAGUCAGUGGUGAAAUAUGGCAGCUCAACUGUCAGGGUGCCAUUGAUACUGCGGAGCUUGAGUACAGAUGAGGUAGGCGGAAUUGACGGUGUAGCGGUGAAAUGCUUAGAUAUCGUCAAGAACACCGAUAGCGAAGGCAGCUUACUGGGCUGUAAACUGACGCUGAGGCACGAAAGUGUGGGGAUCAAACAGG